CCACUGUGCAGCCCCAACUUCUCAUCACCAAUCUGAAAGUACAUUGUAUGCUGCAAAGAGCUACGGUUUCUAACUCAAACUGUUUACGUGUCAGUAUUUGCUGUGGAACUGCUAAGCAAGGACAUGGAGUUCCAGCCAACAACGUUCAAGGAAGCUGAGGCUACAAGUGGAUGAGUCAAAGUGUCCUGAAUGCCGUCCCCCAGCAUCAGCCUCUUCCAAGUGACUGGGAGAAACUGGAGGAGAUGUACAAUAGGCAGAAGAAGAGCGUGCACAUGUGCGCACAGUGAACUUAAUAAACUUCACAGCUGCUCUCUCACACUGCCUCUUUUUACGAGCAGCGUCCAACCUCCAAGACAAAAGGAAACAGAGAAAGCAGCUCUACAGAUUGGAUAAAAGCAGCCAAAGGAAGUACUAAAUGAUUGCUCUUCAAACCUCUCCUUCUCCUCCUCCUCCUUUUGGGUUUUUUAUUCCCUUUUUUUCCCGAAAGAAUAAAAGAAGAAACCAACAGCGGCAGCGCCAUAGACAGAGGCACGGGCAUCGUCAUAAUGGGGUGGCCAAAGCGUUGCCACGACAACACAAGGGGAAGUGAGAAGAGGUAGAGUAGGUGGCAAUAAAGGAAAAAAGGAAAACAAG